UUAUUGUCUUGGCCUUUGCAACAGGACAAACGGGACCUCCAAACUGCGGGCUGGCUCAAGAGGCCGAGAAGGCCCCCCAGGCACCAGAACUGCUGCCCAAAGUUCACCAGACACCUUCCAGGUCUGGAUGUGGAUACAAGCCCGACAGGAGACCACUCUGGGAAGCUCCAGGUCUGCGGGGAAAACAGCCAGCCCAGGCUAUAUAGCAAGGCUCUUAUCAUAGUUUUAAAUAAUAAAGUUUGGGGCACCGUCUGCCCCUCUGAACCCAGAGCCAGCUCCUGGGAAACAAGCGAGGCUUCAGGGUCGCAUGAGCAGGAGGAGAGCCUCCCGGUGCCUGUAGGAGCCACACCGCGCAUGGCACCAGCAGCUGCCUGUCCCCCGUCCAGGGCCUUCGGGCGGCGGAGAGUGAGGAUGCCAGACCUUCCGGCCACCUGCCAAACCUUUGCCACAACCGAGUACACUUCCACAACUCCUCGCCCCAUAAACAAGUCGGCAGGUCCAAAGCAGGUCGGUCUACAGCCACCAGAAGCAGGACGGACACAUCCCUCCAAGAUUGCCAUCGGCCUCCAGAGUCCACAGCCCAGCAGCCUCCACCAUGGGAUGGAGCACUCCAGGCCCAGAGGAAGCCUGGUAAAUCUUUAACCCAAGGAGCAUAUCUUAGAGCAGAAGAGAGGGGAGUAUAAAGAAGCCCCACUCCUGAGCUGGUCGGGAAUGUCAGACAGAACAAGCUUUUCAAAAAGACACUUCUAUUCACUCUGCCCCUACAAGAGGGCUGGAGUGACAGGGCCAUUUAUUUGUAGAAGAGCUAGGGUGGGGGUGGGAAGGAGGGGCAGAGAGAAGUAGGAAGAGGAGAAAAAGUAGAGGGAGGAUGCGGAGGCAGGGGGAGAGAGAGAGAGAGAGAGAAGGGAAGGGAAAUAGAGCAGACUUGCCCCCAGCACAGGGCAGUGCAUCAGCCCCGAAACGCUGGCUCAGUCCGGAGCCUGAGCCGCAUCUCUCCGCCUCGCACGUCAGAGGGGAGGAUCACAGCGACAGUGAUGGUCGCGGUGAUACCGAGGACUAACCACGGUCCUGCCUUGCGUCUGAGACCUUUCCAGGCACAACCUCAUUCAAUCCUCCCAACAACCCUGUAAGGUAGCUACCACAUCUCAUCGAUUCUUACGGGCAUACUUCCUUUUUCUCACUUUAAUGUCUCCGAAAUGGAGAUGCUUAUUACAAUCGCUGUCAGCCGGGCAGCAGCCUGAUGUCCUUGUCACGUCUGGGAACACACAUCAGAAUUUGCAGAACGGGUAUCUGUGGCUCAAAGGUCCAAGGAUAAUAAAGAAGCGUUUUUUUAAAGUCACCCCACAACUAAUGCUUACGAUGUGGCAGGAACACACAGACCUCGCCUAACCUGAGCCCAUCUCUGAGCACAAAGAGGUCUUUGGAAUACCUUAAACAAAUUAUUUCACUUGUAUUUUCCUUCUUACGUAUGUACAAAGGCCUUAUGAUAACAAUCUAUGUCUAAAUAAGGUACUCUCCAUCAGUAUGAAAUUAAAAUUCUAAGGGGUAAGAAAGUACUAUAUCAUGGUUUAAUUGGCGUGUUGAUUCUGUUUUUCUUAGUGUGACAUAAAACAAUGGCACAACAUACAAUCGUUGGCUUUUUGGACUAAGAGGGCUGUAGUACUGUUCCAUCUUACAGAUGAGCAAACUGAGGUUCAGGCUUCUUUGUUACUUACUUGAAGCCACACAGAGAGUCAAAGGCUCAGAUCUUUCUGAUUCCAGAGUCAUGUUCUCAGCCAUUAUUACCCGUCUUCUCUGACAUUUCUAGAGCCAAAUCAGCAUAGGUUCAAAUUCCAGCUUUGCCAUCUACUGGCUUUGUGACCCGUGAGAGCAACUUCUAAUCUCUGAGCCUUAAACAGAGAUGCCAAUGAAGCCUGCUUCUCAAAGUUGCAAGGGAGAAAAUCCUC
rnacentral:lncRNA from 1 species